GUCAACGUUACUGUACAUCACUCGCAAGCACUGUGUUUUCGACGACGGACGGCAAAUGAGCCAGGAUCCACUGCCAAGUCAGAAGGGUUCAGAUUUCUGAGGAUAUCAUGAUGGACACUGGCUUCUGUGAACUCCUCUUGGAAGUACACAAGAACUUGCCUCCUGAAACACGGGUUUUUGCUCUUUUGGGCUUUGGUGAGCAUUCACAGUCUCCCGUUUCUCUUGCUGCUUGUGGGAAUGGCAUCAUGAACUUCUAAACAGGGCUGGUGCAUAAACACCGUCAGUAUGAUUAUAGUGUUUGUUGCAAUGGAAUGUGGACUGACAGUGUAGUGAGAAUGUUUGAGGAUGUUGUAAUGUGUUUUUCCCUUUAAAUGACCUUUUUACUCUUUUUUACUACAUUCAGGAUUAUAUGGACUUUUAGAAUUAUGGGAGCAAAUUGCAAACAUGAAGAAGACAUUAUCCACAGAACUUCUGACAGGUGUUUCCUGGCUAAACUGGAUAAGAAUAGGCAGUGAAGGUGGGGUAAUUACACUGGGACCCAUAGCAUGGGUCUGCCAUAUCAUGGGGGGACCUUUGGCAACCAGACCCCAUAACAAGUUUUUUGGAUGUCUUAUAUCUUUCCCCCGCGACCCAGAAGGAUAAGCGGCUUAGAAGAUGUGUGUGUAUAUAUCUUUCUUCUUUAUGGAAAUUCACACCAAUGGCUAUGAUAAUUUAAUAAUAUGCCUAAACGGUUAGCCUACAUCAGCAUUCUAUAAACAAUCUGUUUAUCCUCCCUCAUGAUACCUUGUAACCUCUCUGUUCAUGAUGUAUCUCAUCCAUGGUGGCCUUUCCAAAUCGAUCCUUUAACACUGCAAAAUCUAGUCAUUAUUUUUAUCUCUCAAAACAUAAAAGAUCAAAAUAAUUAAAUUCAACACUAUAUCAGAGUAUGUGUAUUGUACCAUGUAAGUAUGUGUGUUGUACCAUGUUGCACUGUAACGUUUCAGGUAAAUGUACAGGUGGUACAGAGACCACACUUUUAUUUAUUUAAUGUCCAGUCAAAAAGCCAUUAAGUAGAAGUUAUUCAUUUUUCAGCAUCAGGAAAAAAAAGCAAAAGACAUAUAUUUAACAGAAAAUCUUCCAGAAGCCUCACCAACUAAAUAGAAAAUCAAUUCAUUUUUCAGUAUUUAGUGUGUCCACUCUUUGCCUGUAUUACAGCUUCCAUUCUUUUUGAGGCACUUGCUU